GUAUCAAUUGUGCAGAGUGUUGCAGGAAUGCACAAUAAAACAGUCACUGUGUUGAAGAGACCACGCUCAUGUUCUGUUUUUUGCCAGUUGUGCUUCACAUAUUAAGGGCAUCUUUGUGUAAAAGAGCUUGUAAAAUCUGGUAAAAUAGGGGAGAACCAAUAACCCAGAAUGGGUGUUUCCUGAGAGUGCAGGUUAGGUGGUUUGAGUUUAGGGGUGUUGCAGUUGAAAGGAUAGUGGAGGUUAAGUGCAAGACGACAGUAGCCAGAGCAUGGAGACCGGAAAAGGGCUGAGCAUUAUGAAGAAGGAGGAGUGAGGAAGAAGAGGUGUGUGGCAUAAACUGGAGCAGAAAUGGUAAGAGAAGAAAACACUGAAGGGAAGAUAAACAAACUGCAAAGCAGAAAAACAUAUAGACAUAUGACUGAAAGAGCAGCCUGUGGUAGAUUUUGUACCAGGGCCCAUUGCUGUUCUGCCCAGUGCCUAAUUAGCUUCAUACAGGGAAAUAAUAAUGAACUCCACAAUUGUCUCCUUUCAUUUUUACAACUAUGGAAGUUGAAGUGUGAAAGGAAGCUGUAGAAGCAAAUAGAGAUCUGGGGUGUGCUACAUGUACGGGAGCGUUGCCUGGGCCACUGAACAGUGCAGUGACGCAGGAGCUAUGGAUGGGAACCAGUAUUGUUACUCCAUGAAAUGAAGUAUCUGUCAAAUCAGACUUACCCUAUGACUGCUGUUCUCAUUUUACUUCUUCUCUGGCUUCCAUUAAAGUGUACAUCUUUAGGGUAGGCAGUUUUGGGGGGGCUGGCUCAAAAAGGAAAACUCCCAUCUGUCUUUUGGUUUGAGUGGUACCCUUCAAGCCUAAUGAACUGGUUCAUUAAAUUAGUAUAAUAAUCAUGUUUUAGACAUAGCCUAGUUUUAAGCCGAGGCAUGAAAUAAUUCUUUGCUGAAAAUCAAGAAUGUUUGGGAAUCUUUCUUUUCUUUCUGUGGUCCUUGCUGGGUUUUGUCCAGGAUGUCCUUGGAAAUGUGAGCUCCAGAUAUAUCAUGAGACAACCUCUGUUUUGUGCCAGCUGCAUGUUUCAGAAGAAAACACUGGAGGAGAUGGUUGAAUGUGCAUGCAGACUUCUGGAUGCUCAUCAGCAUUAAUUCCAAACUUCCUUUUUGGAUGCUGAUUGCUGAUCAGCGCUGUAAAGCAGCACAAACAAGACAGACAGCUUUAACCACUAAAAAUGCUCCCUCUUCUGCUCUCACAGUCUCUGUAGACCAGAAUUUUGUAAACAGCCAGAUGCAGUUUUGCUUCCAGAGAUAUCACAAUCCAGAUUUUGGUCCAACUAGCUAUUUCAGGCCAACUCAGACUCUACUGAAAGAUGGAUUUAUAAGGAAAAUGUUGUCAGAUCCUGGUCUUUUGUAACACCGGUGGGAGCCACGAUAAUAAUAAUGAUUUCCUUUAACAGUCUUCCAUCAAAUGUUCAAAGCAGUAGCUUUUCCUUUGGUACAAACAUCAAAAAUGUGGACAAUUUUGUUUCCUAAGCUUGGACAACAUCUGUGUUUCCACCAUUUCUAUGGGAAUGGAGUACACCCCCAAUUUUAUUUAAAACCACCUUUUUGGCUAAAGUGUGUGGUAUGGAAGCACUUUCAUUCUGCCUCAUGUAUCUUGUUCUAGGAAGUUGGAGUCUGCCUGUUUCAUUCCUCCAGGACUUUUUUACUGUGAAGAGUGUAGAUGAGAACAGUGUUUUUCCUCUCAGAAUUCCUUCAAGUUGUUUGCCUAACCUAGACACCUUAAGUGUAUCUAAGUAGUUAAAUGAUUCUCAUUGAUAGUAAUGUUUUACUGAUAUUUAAGUUGCUUGUUGGCCCAAACCAGAAUCAAUUUGAGAGAUGACUGUAGUGAGCUCUGACAUCUGGAAAAAGUUAAACUGUAGCCUGGCUGCAGUUUAGUUCUUUACCUUCUGGGACAAGCCUCUUGCUUUGAUCUGGGUUGGAAAUCUCUAAAUCAAUUCUGGAUGUGCAUGUGGAAAGAAGGAUAUAAGAGAAAACGGAGGAGGAUCUCACUGUUUCCAUUGCAUUUUUCUGAACUCUGCCCAGUUGGAAGGAAAGCACCUAUCUAAUGUCAGUAUAAAGACUGAGAAGGCUUGUCAGUGCACAGUAGAAGUUACAUCUUAAAAUGUGUACCCAUAUCCUGUAGGCAGGCAAUUUGUUCAUAAAAUGGCUGACAGGAAAACUGAGGAGAGAUUUGUGCUGGCUUAUGGUAUCCCACACACAGCAAGAAAGUGCUUUCCAAAGAAGGAACUAGCUUUUCUCUGAGCAAGAGAAGGGUAAAUGUUACGCUCCUGUCUGUUUUGCUUUAGAGAUUGUAAAAAGGAUUGGCCUUCCUUGCAUGCCUCUCAUCAGGAAUGGAAAUAGGCAGGCUGUCUGAGGGAGUGGUCUUAUGUACAUGGAAACUGUUUUACGCAAGAAGAGGAGGCUGGUCCAGCAAAAGGUGUGGUUUUAUUUACAUCCAUGCUCUUCCCUCAUGAUUGGAGGGUGUUUGGAAGGUGUGGUCUCAUUUACAUCCCGCCUAGGCUGCCUUUGGCUCAUCUAGUUUCAACCCUUGUCUGUGGCUGGAAAAGGAGGGAAUUGCUGCAAGCAGAAUAAAAACUACUGUGUGAAAAAACGUGACUGAUUUCUGCCCCUGUUUCUUCAGUGUAUGCAUUGCUGCUGGGAAGGAAAGUUGACGCCCUCCUCAAAGCAGCAAUGGAAUUGUAUGAACCUGAGGUCUGUAAAUGCUGGAAAGAAGAGGCAGGAAAGGACUGCCUGCUAAUAAAAGGGGGAUGAGUGUCCAGGAAAGCAGGUGAUGACAUGGGUGUGUGGGACUGAUGGCAGAGCUCUCCACGCAGCGUCUGAAGUGGCCAAAGACUACUUCGUCUUGUGGGAAUUCUCCAGCAGUGAAUCCUUUUGUCUGGCAUACGUUCACUUUGUUUAAUGCAAGAUUGAUGAAACAAACCAGACAAUUUGGCCUUCAGAUGCUAUAAUUGUGAACAAACUGUCCAGAACAAAGAUAUUUGGAAGACACAAACCUCACAAUCCUCUCUGACUUUUGAUUUUCCUUUCCCCAUGUUGAAUUCAUUAAUUUAGGUAUUUCGAACCAUGAUUUAAGGAAGGCCUUAACUCUGUGGGUACUGACUUCUACCAGUUCUUACAAUCGCUCCAUGGGUGGGAUUUUAGAAAAUACUCUGAGGUUGGCCUGCAGGAGAAUCCCAUUUUCCUUGUCUAAUUUAAUAGGUACAGGAUGGAAUUUUCUUUUCCACACUCUCUUACAUUAAUGAAACAGUCCAGGCUGUAACAAAUAACUGAUGUCACCACAGUUUAGAAAGUACAUAUUUAAAUGAAACUAUAAUACAGCCUUCUUACAGAUUGUGAAACUGGACAGCCUGCAACCAUCUGGCACUCCACCUCUGAAAGAAUAUCAGUAAAGACAAUGCUGUUCUUUCUGUAAGAGUGCCACCAUCUAGAUGCAGCCAUCACAGAAAGCCCCUUUCUUAAGUCAAGCUUUAUUCAACUUUCAAAGCACAUGUGAAAAAUAAAUGUUAUUUCCAGUGCAAGCCAAAUAGUCAUAACUAUUACAUCCUUAAAUCACACUUUAUGCCUGCUUGUAUUAGUACAGGCAGUAGGAAAAACUGCAUCUCAGACGCAGCCCCAGCAAGAUUAAAUAUACUGCAAACAAGAUUAAAUAUGUUGUAUACCUCAGGGAGAAAAAGAAGUGUGGAGAGGUGGAAAUCAAUGCACAGCAGAGUUGCAUGCUGAUUAAAUUUCCCCUGAGCUGGCUUUGAUGGUCCAGGUGAGGACCUCUACUUUAGGUAUCAAAACUACUUCUUUCUAGUGAAAACUUGAACUCCACUAAUAGGCGCUUCCAAUCUAAAAAACCUUGAAGGCAGUUUUUCUGCUCAAGGGAAGCAAAACUGCUAAUUUCAUAAAAUCUUAACCACAUUAGGAAAUAAUUAG